rnacentral:rRNA from 1 species
AGGGUCGUAAAGCUCUUUCGCCUGUGAAGAUAAUGACUGUAGCAGGUAAAGAAACCCCGGCUAACUCCGUGCCAGCAGCCGCGGUAAUACGGAGGGGUGUUAGCGCUUGUUCGGAAUUACUGGGCGCUAAAGCGCGCGUUAGGCGGACUGGAAAGUUGGGGUGUGAAAUCCCAGGGCUCAACCCUGGAACUGCCUCCAAAACUAUCAGCUCUAGAGUUCGAGAGAGGUGAGUGGAAUUCCGAGUGUAGAGGUGAAAUUCGUAGAUAUUCGGAGGAACACCAGUGGUCGAAAGCGGCUCACUGGCUCGAUACUGACGCUGAGGUCGAAAGUGUGGGGAGCAAACAGGAUUAGAAACCCU